UACGUAGGGUGCUAGCGUUGUUCGGAAUCAUUGGGCGUAAAGCGCGUGUAGGCUGUUAGGUAAGUCGAUUGUGAAAUCCCGGGGCUCAACCUCGGAACUGCCUUUGAUACUGCGAAUCUUGAGUCCGAUAGAGGUGGGUGGAAUUCCUAGUGUAGAGGUGAAAUUCGUAGAUAUUAGGAAGAACACCGGUGGCGAAGGCGGCCCACUGGAUCGGUACUGACGCUGAGGCGCGAAAGCGUGGGGAGCAAACAGG
rnacentral:rRNA from 1 species